rnacentral:rRNA from 1 species
UACGUAGGUGGCGAGCGUUAUCCGGAUUUACUGGGUGUAAAGGGCGUGUAGGCGGGAUUGCAAGUCAGAUGUGAAAACUAUGGGCUCAACCCAUAGCCUGGCAUUUGAAACUGUAGUUCUUGAGUGCUGGAGAGGCAAUCGGAAUUCCGUGUGUAGCGGUGAAAUGCGUAGAUAUAACGGAGGAACACCAGUGGCGAAGGCGGAUUGCUGGACAGUAACUGACGCUGAGGCGCGAAAGCGUGGGGAGCAAACAGG